rnacentral:rRNA from 15 species
CCGUGCGCUUACAAGCGGUCGGAGCCUUCGGGUGACGGCGUGCCUUUUGCAUAAUGAGCCUACGAGUUACACCUUACUAGCAAGUUUAAGGCCUUCAGGGCUGUAGGCGAAGCGAAAGCGAGUCUGAAUAGGGCGCAUGAGUUAGAUGGAUCAGACCCGAAACCGAGUGAUCUAGGCAUGGCCAGGUUGAAGGUUGGGUAACACCAACUGGAGGACCGAACCCACAUCCGUUGAAAAGGAUCGGGAUGAGCUGUGCCUAGGGGUGAAAGGCCAAUCAAACUCGGAGAUAGCUGGUUCUCUGCGAAAUCUAUUUAGGUAGAGCGUCAUCCGAAUACCCCCGGGGGUAGAGCACUGGAUGGGUAAUGGGGCCCCACAGGCUUACUGAUCCUAACCAAACUCCGAAUACCGGGGAGUACUAGAUGGCAGACACACGGCGGAUGCUAACGUCCGUCGUGAAGAGGGUAACAACCCAGACCGCCAGCUAAG